rnacentral:rRNA from 1 species
GAUGAACGCUGGCGGCGUGCCUAAUACAUGCAAGUCGAGCGAACGGACGAGAAGCUUGCUUCUCUGAUGUUAGCGGCGGACGGGUGAGUAACACGUGGAUAACCUACCUAUAAGACUGGGAUAACUUCGGGAAACCGUAGCUAAUACCGGAUAAUAUUUUGAACCGCAUGGUUCAAAAGUGAAAGACGGUCUUUCUGUCACUUAUAGAUGGAUCCGCGCUGCAUUAGCUAGUUGGUAAGGUAACGGCUUACCAAGGCAACGAUGCAUAGCCGACCUGAGAGGGUGAUCGGCCACCCUGGAACUGAGACACGGUCCAGGCUCCUACGGGAGGCAGCAGUAGGGAAUCUUCCGCAAUGGGCGAAAGCCUGACGGAGCAACGCCGCGUGAGUGAUGAAGGUCUUCGGAUCGUAAAACUCUGUUAUUAGGGAAGAACAUAUGUGUAAGUAACUGUGCACAGCUUGACGGUACCUAAUCAGAAAGCCACGGCUAACUACGUG